GCUGGCGAAGCUUCACCAGGGGCCUCCAUGACCAGCACCCCUUGAACAUCCCACUGCUCCGCUGAGUCCGAGUUCCCUCUGUACAGCGAAACUUGUACAGCCCCGGAGGGGAGGCAGUGACGCUGAGAGCACCCAGCCCCGACCCGCAGCAGUGGGGCACCGACAAAGCACCAUGGGCAGCCUGGGCCCGGCCCUGUCCCUGCCCUCAGCUCCUCCCGCCUCCUCCUCCCUGGCUGCCCCUGCACCUGGGUGAGGAGGGGGCAGUCCGGGCUCUGGUACUGGCCACAGGCAGACAGCCCCAGGGCCACAGCGUCGUCCUUUCCUCGGCGCCCAGGGAUAGGACCUAGCCCAGCAGACGUCCCUAGCCCCCUUCUCUCCUCAGCUCACUUUCGUGGCCCGGGACCCUGAGCAGAGGGGCGCCGCCCAGGCCGCGCAGACCGGAGCCCGAGCGUCACGCGCACCGCGCGCACCGCCCGCCUCUGGCCAGGACGCUUAUACAUCCGGAGGGUGGGCAGUGCCCGCUCCUCCGACCUCCCCAGCACAGGCCGGGAGCAGGGAGGGCCGGGGGCGGGGCCUGGACUGGCCGAGGGAGAGGGAGCCCAGGACACGUCGGAGGAACUCAGGCCGCUGGUCGGUCCUGGUCGGUCUGUGCUGUCCCUCACUUGCUACCCACCAUGCAGCCAGCCUGUCGGCCUGGCGGGUGUGUGGGUUGUGUCCUGGGAACCUCCGUUGUACACCUGAGCAGCGGCCUGAAGGCGGAGCCCAGAUGUGGAGUCCGAGGGAGACGUCAGUACAGAGAAGGGAGAAGUGAAAGUGAAAAACCCUGGGGCUGCUGGACACUCCAGGCUGGGACCAGGAGACCAGGCUAGGUGAGAAAAAGUGUGGGAGCAGAAAGGACUGUGGCAUGGACAAACUCUGAUCUGAUCGAGAGCAUGCUGGAAGAGGUCAGGAUCCUCCGCUAGGCUGCUCAGCUGGAGGGGCGCCCCUGCUCCACCCACAGCUGAUACUCACCCAAGUGGUUGCAGAACCUGACUGAACCCACUGUCAAAGCCCAGGGAGUGCCAGAGGGGCCCAAAGGGCCAGAAGUGGAGGCCUGAGCCCCCAGUCCUCCACAGCAUUGCUGCCUUCCACGCCUCCUUCUGUCCUUUUUGGGGGCCGCCCCACAGCUUUCUUCGACACCACUGUAACCCCACCCUUGGUGCCUACCGCCCAGAGGGAGCCCGCGCCCAGUGGCCC
rnacentral:lncRNA from 1 species